rnacentral:lncRNA from 1 species
GGAAAGGGCAUUAAGCAGAUGUUUAAGGAGCUGUUUUAUAAAUUUCAUAGGUAUUUCCAAUGUUUUUACAAAUAUUUUAGGGGAAAAGGAUUGGCAAGCCAUUGACAUCAUACUAGAGUGGAACACAUCACCUCUUGGUAGUUCCUGCUGGUAUCAGCUCUUUGUUCAAAACAAACUUCCAUAAAGAAACAAAAAAAAUAAACUUGAGACAAGAAGUUGCUUUUUUUUCAGCUGCAGCCUGAAGAACCCUUCUGCCAAAAUCACCUGUAAAUGAGAAUAAAUCUAAUGCAUCAUAAAAAAUGAUGCCAGAACAACGUAGUUAAGCAUUUCCAUCAGCUGCCACUGCUUCAGCUUUGUUUUGAUCAAGAAGUGGUUGUGGUCUUUCAUGGAAAAAUCCCACUGACAGAUGGUGGGACCUCUUUAUUGAUGUAUUAACUCGUGGUGAAUUUAGAGGGCUGAAACUCUCCUCUAACCCUGUUUGCCAAUGUGAAUACAGCUGUGAAGAGAUUUUUCUGGACAAACCCAGUAACUUACAUAGACUAUGCAGUCUGCCCAUGGAGGAGUUCAGUUGUGACAAAUGAAGUUUUACUCUGGGCUCAAACAACGCUUGGAUAGACAAGCUGACAUUUGUCAAUGUGUUGAUAGAUUAGCUGACAUUCACAUCGCAUACUUGGCACAAUUUAUUGUGUUUAAUGUGGGGGUGUCUAUGACUAAAUUGGUUUUGCACAAUAAAGCUGAAGUGCGUUGCAAGGCGAUAGUCUGAAAUCCUGUGUUUAAGCACUCUGGUCAGUGCUGUUAGUAACUCAUUUUCAAGAGCACUAAAAAGAUAAACACAAACCAGAGAUACCCUGUUAUACUGCUUUUGUUAGAGCCCCUAGGAAUACCCUAAAAGGUCAAGGAAUACCGACAUGGAUAUUUUAGUCCCAACUACAUUUCAGUCUAAGCAAGUCGUAAGUUCUUUGGCCAUUUUUAAGUUUUGAUGUUAAUGACUUGGAGUUUAAAACUAUUUAGUUUAAAAUUGAAGUAAAAAGGAUGUCUUUUUAAAAAAAAGUUGGGUUUUCCUUUCUUUUCCCCCCCCACCCCUUUUUAAGCAUUCCAAAAUGAUCUCCUGUUAAAAUACAUUGCAUUUUAUGAUUCCGUACUUCAGCAGCAACGUAAAAUAGCUGGUUUAGUUCUGAAUAAUAACUUCAUUGUUUUUCCUUCAGCUUAAUGUAUAAUACAGUAGCUUUGAACACUCAGGAAAUGCAGUAGUGUCCUAGAGCCACACUAUUUGCAAAACCACCGGAUGUUAAAACUUACCAGAUUUCUAAGGGGGAGGGGGGGCAGAGGGAAUUAGUGCAAUUUCCGCGAUAGCGACAUGGGUGUGCUAUUAUCAGACCAUUGGAAACUUACCACACUUAACCCCUGAGUUCGAAAUAAAUUUCAACAUUGAAAAUUUU